GGGGCUGUAGCUCAGUUGGUAGAGCGCCUGCUUUGCAAGCAGGAUGUCAGGAGUUCGAAUCUCCUAGGCUCCA
rnacentral:tRNA from 1 species